rnacentral:rRNA from 1 species
CCUACGGGAGGCUGCAGUGGGGAAUAUUGGGCAAUGGGCGCAAGCCUGACCCAGCAACGCCGCGUGAAGGAAGAAGGCUCUCGGGUUGUAAACUUCUUUUAUCAGGGACGAAGCAAGUGACGGUACCUGAUGAAUAAGCCACGGCUAACUACGUGCCAGCAGCCGCGGUAACACGUAGGUGGCAAGCGUUAUCCGGAUUUACUGGGUGUAAAGGGCGUGUAGGCGGGAAAGCAAGUCAGAUGUGAAAACCAUGGGCUCAACCUGUGGCCUGCAUUUGAAACUGUUUUUCUUGAGUACUGGAGAGGCAGACGGAAGCCCUGGUGGAGCGGUGAAAUGCGUAGAUAUUAGGAGGAACACCAGUGGCGAAGGCGGUCUGCUGGACAGCAACUGACGCUGAGGCGCGAAAGCGUGGGGAGCAAACAGGAUUAGAUACCCGAGUAGUC